AUCAUACUCCCUCCGUCCGGAAAUACUUGUCAUGGAAAUGGAUGUAUCUAGAUGUGUUUUAGUUCUAGAUACAUCCAAUUUUAUCUAUUUGUGCGACAAGUAUUUCCGGACAGAGGAAGUAGUAA
rnacentral:pre_miRNA from 1 species